rnacentral:rRNA from 1 species
UACGGGGGGGGCAAGCGUUGUUCGGAAUUACUGGGCGUAAAGGGCUCGUAGGCGGCCAACUAAGUCGGAUGUGAAAUCCCCAGGCUCAACCUGGGAACUGCAUCCGAUACUGGAUGGCUUGAAUUCGGGAGAGGGAUGCAGAAUUCCAGGUGUAGCGGUGAAAUGCGUAGAUAUCUGGAGGAAUACCGGUGGCGAAGGCGGCAUCCUGGACCGACAUUGACGCUGAGGAGUGAAAGCCAGGGGAGCAAACGGG